rnacentral:rRNA from 1 species
AACGAACGCUGGCGGCAUGCCUAACACAUGCAAGUCGAACGAGAACAUCGGGAGUAUUCGCGCACGGGGUCGUAACGCGUGGGAACCUGCACUUGUGGUUGGAAUAACUCCCCGAAUGGGGUGCUUACAGCGGAUAAUGGCUUCUAACCAACGAUUUAUUGCCCUUGGAGGGUCCCUCGUUGAAUUCGCUUGUGGGGAGGGUAAAAGCCGACCAAGGGGACGAUCCGUAGCUGGUUUGUGAGGCUGAUCAGCCACUCUGAGACUAGGACCCGGCCCAGAAUCCUCCGCGAGGCAGCAGUGGGUAAUAUUGGACCGUGGGCGAAAGCCUGAUCCAGCAAUGACGCGUGAGUGAUGAAGGCAUUAAGGUUGUAAAGCUCUUUUAACCGGGAUGAUAAUGACGGUACCGGGAGAAUAAGCUCCGGCUAACUCCGUG